AGACACAUCAUGCAGUUCCUGAAAUAGCUAAGUUGCGCACUGUUCCUCAACUAGACACAUUGAGGGCUGUCAUAACCUGCCAUCAGCCAGAACCAGACCUGUAUAGGUUUGUUGGCCAAAUUAGAAUCCAACAAAAUUCAAACAACAUAGUGAGACCUCUGGGACCAGAAAAUCUUCUACUUAGAGGAGCAAGUUUGAAAAAUACAAAUGAAGUUUACGGUACAAAGAUUUGUUUCUGCCAAUUUGUAUCCACUCAACUGAAUAAAAUUUCUUUUGCCUACUGUCUUCGUGAAUUUUGCAGUAAAAGAAACU